GCCCCGGUAAACGGCGGCCGUAACUAUAACGGUCCUAAGGUAGCGAAAUUCCUUGUCGGGUAAGUUCCGACCUGCACGAAUGGCGUAAUGAUGGCCAGGCUGUCUCCACCCGAGACUCAGUGAAAUUGAACUCGCUGUGAAGAUGCAGUGUACCCGCGGCAAGACGGAAAGACCCCGUGAACCUUUACUAUAGCUUGACACUGAACAUUGAGCCUUGAUGUGUAGGAUAGGUGGGAGGCUUUGAAGUGUGGACGCCAGUCUGCAUGGAGCCGACCUUGAAAUACCACCCUUUAAUGUUUGAUGUUCUAACGUUGGCCCGUAAUCCGGGUUGCGGACAGUGUCUGGUGGGUAGUUUGACUGGGGCGGUCUCCUCCUAAAGAGUAACGGAGGAGCACGAAGGUUGGCUAAUCCUGGUCGGACAUCAGGAGGUUAGUGCAAUGGCAUAAGCCAGCUUGACUGCGAGCGUGACGGCGCGAGCAGGUGCGAAAGCAGGUCAUAGUGAUCCGGUGGUUCUGAAUGGAAGGGCCAUCGCUCAACGGAUAAAAGGUACUCCGGGGAUAACAGGCUGAUACCGCCCAAGAGUUCAUAUCGACGGCGGUGUUUGGCACCUCGAUGUCGGCUCAUCACAUCCUGGGGCUGAAGUAGGUCCCAAGGGUAUGGCUGUUCGCCAUUUAAAGUGGUACGCGAGCUGGGUUUAGAACGUCGUGAGACAGUUCGGUCCCUAUCUGCCGUGGGCGCUGGAGAACUGAGGGGGGCUGCUCCUAGUACGAGAGGACCGGAGUGGACGCAUCACUGGUGUUCGGGUUGUCAUGCCAAUGGCACUGCCCGGUAGCUAAAUGCGGAAGAGAUAAGUGCUGAAAGCAUCUAAGCACGAAACUUGCCCCGAGAUGAGUUCUCCCUGACUCCUUGAGAGUCCUGAAGGAACGUUGAAGACGACGACGUUGAUAGGCCGGGUGUGUAAGCGCAGCGAUGCGUUGAGCUAACCGGUACUAAUGAACCGUGAGGCUUAACCUU
rnacentral:rRNA from 1 species